rnacentral:lncRNA from 1 species
ACACACAAAGGAAACAACAAGUGAAACUGCGAGCUACUGCUCACUGAUGAUACCCCCGCCGCAAGUGGAUAAUAUUAAUAGUGUAAAAAUAUGCAAGUGUUCGGUAAACAGGAAGUUGUCGAGUGAUGAAUCUGAAAACGCAUCACACGGUAUAGCUGACUUAUAUAAAUCCUGAAACCAAAUUUCAGAAAUCCUUGUAUUGUAGUUCCUGAGAAAAAUGUGACGAAAAUUUUUAACUUGGUUAUCAUGUGUAAAAUCAGACAAGUGUUCGAUAAACAGGAAGUUGUCAAGUGAUGAAUCUGAAAACGCAUCACACGGUAUAGCUGACUUAUAUAAAUCCUGAAACCAAAUUUCAGAAAUCCUUGUAUUGUAGUUCCUGAGAAAAAUGUGACGAAAAUUUUCAACUUGGCUAUCAUGUGUAAAAUCAUACAAGUGUUCGGUAAACAGGAAGUUGUCGAGUGAUGAAUCUGAAAACGCAUCACACGGUAUAGCUGACUUAUAUAAAUGUUGAUACCAAAUUACAGAAAGGGUGGAUGUGUAGUUCCUGAGAAAAAUGUGACGAAAGUUUCAUGGGACGGACUGACUGACGGACUGACGGACUGACGGACGGACGGACGGACGGACGGACGGACUGACGGACGGACUGACAGACAGAGGUAAAACAGUAUACCCCCCCUUUUUUAAAGCGGGGGUAUAAUUACAUAUAAU